rnacentral:piRNA from 1 species
UUCGUUUCCAAUUUUAGGAAA